GACGAACGCUGGCGGCGCGCUUAACACAUGCAAGUCGAACGGAAAGGCCCUGCUUUUGUGGGGUGCUCGAGUGGCGAACGGGUGAGUAACACGUGAGUAACCUGCCCUUGACUUUGGGAUAACUUCAGGAAACUGGGGCUAAUACCGGAUAGGAGCUCCUGCUGCAUGGUGGGGGUUGGAAAGUUUCGGCGGUUGGGGAUGGACUCGCGGCUUAUCAGCUUGUUGGUGGGGUAGUGGCUUACCAAGGCUUUGACGGGUAGCCGGCCUGAGAGGGUGACCGGCCACAUUGGGACUGAGAUACGGCCCAGACUCCUACGGGAGGCAGCAGUGGGGAAUAUUGCACAAUGGGCGGAAGCCUGAUGCAGCAACGCCGCGUGCGGGGUGACGGCCUUCGGGUUGUAAACCGCUUUCGCCUGUGACGAAGCGUGAGUGACGGUAAUGGGUAAAGAAGCACCGGCUAACUACGUGCCAGCAGCCGCGGUGAUACGUAGGGUGCGAGCGUUGUCCGGAUUUAUUGGGCGUAAAGGGCUCGUAGGUGGUUGAUCGCGUCGGAAGUGUAAUCUUGGGGCUUAACCCUGAGCGUGCUUUCGAUACGGGUUGACUUGAGGAAGGUAGGGGAGAAUGGAAUUCCUGGUGGAGCGGUGGAAUGCGCAGAUAUCAGGAGGAACACCAGUGGCGAAGGCGGUUCUCUGGGCCUUUCCUGACGCUGAGGAGCGAAAGCGUGGGGAGCGAACAGGCUUAGAUACCCUGGUAGUCCACGCUGUAAACGGUGGGUACUAGGUGUGGGGUCCAUUCCACGGGUUCCGUGCCGUAGCUAACGCUUUAAGUACCCCGCCUGGGGAGUACGGCCGCAAGGCUAAAACUCAAAGGAAUUGACGGGGCCCCGCACAAGCGGCGGAGCAUGCGGAUUAAUUCGAUGCAACGCGUAGAACCUUACCUGGGUUUGACAUGGAUCGGGAGCGCUCAGAGAUGGGUGUGCCUCUUUUGGGGUCGGUUCACAGGUGGUGCAUGGCUGUCGUCAGCUCGUGUCGUGAGAUGUUGGGUUAAGUCCCGCAACGAGCGCAACCCUUGUUCACUGUUGCCAGCACGUUAUGGUGGGGACUCAGUGGAGACCGCCGGGGUCAACUCGGAGGAAGGUGGGGAUGACGUCAAGUCAUCAUGCCCCUUAUGUCCAGGGCUUCACGCAUGCUACAAUGGCUGGUACAGAGAGUGGCGAGCCUGUGAGGGUGAGCGAAUCUCGGAAAGCCGGUCUCAGUUCGGAUUGGGGUCUGCAACUCGACCUCAUGAAGUCGGAGUCGCUAGUAAUCGCAGAUCAGCAACGCUGCGGUGAAUACGUUCCCGGG
rnacentral:rRNA from 1 species